CAAUUACCCUUAUAAGCCACGGUGGCCACUAGGAACACCUGCCGUCUUUUGUAAGGGCUCAAAAUCUGACUACAGAUCAACAUCAGACAUCCAAUCUGAUUUCCGGAAUCCACCUUCUCUCUCAAACCCGGGCAACAUUUCCCCUCUCCCAUCUUUCCCCACCCCUCUCAGCUUCCUGAUUUCUCAGUAUUUGCCAGUAGGGGUUCUGUGGUCACAUUGGAAAGCUCUCGGAUAUAUGUGGCUGGAAUCAGGAGAGCUGAGCUCGUGGAGAUCAGCAGGGCUCCCCUUGAGUGCUGCAUCAUCAGUCUUGGGUCCCAAUUACCACAUAAUCAUGUUUGCUAACCUUUCCAGGUUGAAGAUUAUUCUCCUUAAUAAAAGAAAUGGGAGAAAAUUAGGAGAAAGGAGGCUUUAACUUUUUUCAGUCUAUUAUUAACAUCACAUAAUCUGCCUUGAACAUCUCUUCUGUUAUUCUUGCUCUGAAAAAAAUUCAUUUUUGAAGGCUGCUUUUGUUAUGUUUACACGUUAUUACAAGCCCUCAUCAUUCUUGGAUUCAAUAAUAAUAAUAAUAAUGCCAUCUAAUCUUUAUUGGAUACUUACUGCAUUCUAGGCACUGUGCGAAAUGUCUUACAUCUAUUCAUCUCGUUAGUAAGCAUUUCUGAAACGAUCCGUUCUUAUAAUUUGUCUUUUCGGUUUUCUCAUUCAUGUUCUUAAAAUCUGAGCAUAGCCAUGAGCUCCCAGUGCAGCCACUGCAUCUCUUUAAAAGCUGCCGCUCUCUACUUUCUCCUGGGUGAUGGGUCCUGCCUCUGAAGCUAGGACGAUCUGGGUAGGCAGGAAUCCUGCCUUCCAAGACCGGCAGGAGGCGUGGUUCCCCGGGCUGUACGGAUGAUACAAGGUCUUGACUCAGGGUAACUGGUGGCUAUGUAAGGGAAGGGAGAAGCUUAAAAUGAACCAAGGAAGGAUGCAGGAAGUGGAGAGGUGGGCUGAGAAUCAGGCUCCUAGGAGUGCAGUGGGAAGGAGUCCAAAGGUUAAAGUCUGGGAAGCCUGGGCUUGGUCAGGAGGUGGGGAGAAGGAAGUCAUUCCAGAUGGAGGCGGUAACAGUGUGAACCCAUCUGUGAGGGUUCAUUUUGUGUGUCAACUUGACUGGGCUAAGGAUGCCCAGAUAGCUGGUAAAACAGUAUUUCUGGGUAUGUCUGUGAGGGUGUUUCCAGAAGAGAUUAGCAUUUGAAUCUGUAAAUUGAGUAAAAAAGAUUCAUCCUUGCCAAUGUCGGCAGGCGUCAUCCAGUCCAUUGAGGGCCAGAUUAGAACAAAAAGGUGGAGGAAGGGCAAAUUCUGUCUUUCUUCUUGAGCCAGGACAUCCAUCUCUCCUGCCCUCAGACAUCGGAACCGGAGCUUCCGGUUCUUGGGCCUUGGACUCUGGGACUGACACAAGGCUGGCCUUCCUUUGUCCUUGGACUGGUUCUCCAGCGUGCUGGCAGCAGGUCAUGGCAUACCUCAGCCUCCAUCCUCGUGUAAAUCAAUUCCUUAAUGAGCGUCAGAAAGGAGUCCAGAGGACAGGUUCUCUCUCCACUUCCUCAGCCUGCUGAGGACUGAGGCUGACAACAAGCAGACCCUAGAAAUUCUCCACAAUGCAUCCAUUCUCAGAUGUGUGGAUUUCCAGAGUGAUUAAGAACUGCCUUUCAGAAAAUCUGCAAAAUCACACAGCCAGGGCACGUGCAAAAGAAGAUAUUGUACCUGAAACGACCUUGGAACUAAAGAUCCUCCUCCCCACGGAACCCAAGGACGGAGACGUGACCGGAACCUGAAGAGCCUUCGCCAGGAAAUGAAGACGUGAAGACAUGUCACAGCCGGGUAUUUUCAGGCUGGCUUGAUGAAGAGUGGACGGCCGUGUGGAAAGAUCAUCGCCCAAGGACCACUUGUCCUCGACUGUACUGAGCAAGGCCCGUUCCUUCAGGAUCCUCCCGGGGUCCCUCCGUCUUCGGAGGUAGGGUGCUCCUUUCCUCCAGACAUAGUCGCGGCCUCCGGGCUGGAAGGGGCAUUCAUGGCUUCUGUUCAGCUGGGCGUUUGCAGAGGUGAGGCUGUGCACGGGUUCGGGCGUGGGAGCCACGAGGGCGCGGGCGCGUGGGAAGAUGAAGGAGCCGGUCAUGCUGCGAAGAGGAGCUCAGAGUGCGAAGAUCGGCAAACAGACGGCUUACUACCUGCAAGGCGGCC
rnacentral:lncRNA from 1 species